UACGUAGGGUGCGAGCGUUGUCCGGAAUUACUGGGCGUAAAGAGCUCGUAGGUGGUUUGUCGCGUUGUUUGUGAAAUCUCACGGCUUAACUGUGAGCGUGCGGGCGAUACGGGCAGACUUGAGUACUGCAGGGGAGACUGGAAUUCCUGGUGUAGCGGUGGAAUGCGCAGAUAUCAGGAGGAACACCGAUGGCGAAGGCAGGUCUCUGGGCCACUACUGACGCUGAGAAGCGAAAGCAUGGGGAGCGAACAGG
rnacentral:rRNA from 1 species